GCUCCACUACCUACAUAACGUGGGUGAAAGGUCCUGUCAGGAAUCGUGUUAUGGUUCAAUGCGUUGCAGGAUACAAGUUUGAUGGCAAUCUUCCUUUGAUUUGCCAAGGUUAUGGUCAAUGGAGUUCUGGAGGGUGCUUGGUUGUGGAACGAUACUGUGGCGACCCGGGAACUCCAAGCAAUGGUUCUCGCACACUUAGCCAAAAACUCCAUGGUAGAGUCACGUACACGUGCAAUGUUGGUUACGGCUUGGAAGGGUCGAUGACUCGAGACUGCUUAUACAACAAAACCUGGUCUUUUCUUCAACCUGUCUGCCACCCUGCAUGUGUCCUACCAACCGUUCAAAAUAGCAAGAGUGUUGUGGCUUUAAACCCUACAUCUGAUGGAAAGACUGCAAAAUUUGUGUUGACCUGUAAAGC